GUUGUUUGCCGGCAUAGACUGCAGGCCCCGCCCCGCGCGAGCGAUUGGCCAGCUAGUCCAGGCCCGCGCGGUGAUUGGAGGGGGUCCGCGGCCGCGGGCGGGGCCGGAAGGUGGCCGGCAUCAUGGCGUCCACGCCGCCGCUGCGGGACCGCCUGAGCUUCCUGCACCGGCUCCCGGUUCUCCUGAAGGGAACGUCGGACGAUGAUGUCCCGUGUCCGGGCUACUUGUUUGAGGAGAUCGCCAAAAUCUCACACGAGUCCCUGGGCAGCAGCCAGUGCCUCCUGGAGUACCUUCUGAACCGUCUGCACAGCGGCUCUGGCCGAGUGAAGCUGAAGGUGCUGAAGAUCCUGCUCCACCUGUGCGGUCACGGCUCCUCCUCGUCCUUGCUCAUCCUCAAACGCAACCCUGCCUUCAUCCAGGAAGCCGCAGUUUUCUCGGGGCCCCCAGACCCUCUCCACGGGAACAGCUUGUACCAGAAGGUGCGGGCGGCCGCCCAGGACUUGGGGAGCGCCUUGUUCUCGGACAACUUGUCGCCCCCGCCUCCCUCCCAGCCACCCAGGGCCCUGCCUCCGGCAGGCAUGGGCUCCGAGUCCAGGCCCCAGGGCGCCCUCCAGGGCUUCGGCUACAGCAAGGAACGGGGCCCCACAGGCUCUGCGGGCGAAGCCUUCCUCUCCACCAUCCAGAAGGCCGCAGAGGUGGUGGCCAAUGCUGUGCGCCCCGGGCCCGAGAGCCCCGGCACCCGGAGGCCCCUCCCGCGGGGUGACGCCUACCAGCCCGCCACGACGCCCACAGCCAGCCGUGCUGGCCCCAGUGCCGGGAAGCCGCUCCCCGGAGCUCUCCCGGGCGCCCGAGGAAGCGUCACGAGACCCCAGCCCGGGCAGGCAGGAGGGGGUUGGGACGAGCCAGACAGCGGCUCCAGCUCCCAGAAUUCAUCCCGGGAGAGCGGUGACCCAGGCAAGGUCUCAGACUCAGGCAGUCGGUCGGGCAGCGACAGCCCCUCAGCGGCUAGCCAGGCACCCAGCGACCUGGCAGAGCGGGUGGAGGCCGUGACCCUGAGCGACUGCCAGCAGGAGCAGAGCCUGGUCCAGACUGUGACACGGGGGCCGCGUGCCUUUCUGAGCCGAGAGGAGGCUCAGUGCUUCAUCAAAGAGUGUGGGCUGCUCAACUGUGAGGCGGUCCUGGAACUGCUGACCCGCCGCCUGGACGGGACCAGCGAGUGUGUGCAGAUGAGGGCCCUGGGCGCCAUCGCGUCCCUGGGCUGCACCGACCUGCUCUCCCAGGAGCACAUCCUGCUCCUCGCCCGGCCGCGGCUGCAGGAGCUCAGCGCGGGCAGCCCUGGACCCGUGACCAACAAGGCCACCAAGAUCCUGAGGCACUUUGAAGCCUCCUGCCGACAGCGGCCCCCCGCCCAGAGGCCCCCGGUCGAGCUGGGCCCUGUGGCUGGCCGCGGGGGCCCGGCCGACCUGCUAACCGACACCGUGCCCUUCUCUGGGAGCCACGCCUUCCUGCAGCCGCUGAGUUCCGCCCUUUUCCCGCCCCAGGGCCCUGCGCACCCCCUUCCCCUCGAUGGCUCCCCGCUCUCAGUCCCCAGGGAGGCCGAGGCCGGCCUGGUGGGUUCCAGAGAGGAGGGGGUCGGACCCGAGUGGAGCCCGCCGGGCACGGGCUCCCCAAAGGGAGUGCCGGAACUUUGCCCAGGGCCCAGGGGCUGCAGCUCCUUGUUUGCUGGCAUGGAGCUGGUGGCCUGUCCCCGCCUGCUGGGGGCCGGUCCCGCCACAGAAGAGGCCCCCCAGGCCCCCUGGAUGCCACCACAGAGGGCGGCGGCAGCAGGAGCCCCUCCCGGCUCGGAACCUUCUGCUUUCCCUUUCCUAAACUCGUGACCUUGCCAGCCUGAGCCACACGUGGAGUCACCGUGGCCCCGGCCUGUAAAUCCCAGGAUUCCGUGACUCUGUGCUGUCCCGUUUGCCCGCAGCCCCCACGUCCCACCGAGGAGUGGUUCCCCUCGGGUGUGUGUGGCCGGUCCGCCCUCCCUCCGGCGUCCCCCCCUCACUCACCAAGGACACGGUGCGGGCAGCUGACCAGAGCGAAUACAACAGCCGCUGAUCAAGCCCCGGGUGAUGUGCCGCCGGUCCACGAGCCAGCAGAGCCAGGAGCAGAGCAUGGGAACACAUGUGGAUCUCAGCAUGUCAGGCCCAGGGGACCUUCCUAAAGGAAGGCACUAGCAGCAUUCGCAAAGGAAGCGAACAAUGUUCACGGAGAAGCCACGAGCAGAUUUGGAAUUCCUGUCCAGUCAGAACCCACACCCCUCCCAGCCUGCAGACCCAAGAAGUGGCCGUGACCCUGGAGGUUUGGUUCCAGAACCAGAGAGCGAAACUCAGGAAAGCUGAAUACAAGCAUCCGCAGCAAAAACAAGAACGCAGACAGCAGCAGUUAGCUGGGCGGAGUCAAGACCGGCUCUUCCUGGACAAAUACGCUCCUACCCUGCUUCCUCGGUGUACGCAGAUCGCCCAAUACCUUCCUUCCAACCCUGCACGUGCCCCACUUUGAAGGCUCCCCCAGACCAUUCUGUUGGCCACCAAACAGUCCACCUUGGCUGCCGCCAAGAUCCUAACAUCUCCCUUUGUCCCGUUCAGGGAUCUCAGAUUCUUUCCACCGGCUUCCCUGCUAAUUCCUUUGCUUCUGCGUCGCCACCAAGAACCUUAGGAGAGAAGCUAGACACACAAAAAAGCCACAUACCGUGAUUUGCCAUGAUGCCAAACGGGGGGCCGAUAGAAGAUCUACACAACACGGAUGCAUUUCAAAAGCAUUCUGCUCUGUGAAAGAAUAAAGACACAAAGCGCCCGUGUGGUGGAAUCGAGCAGAAGGAGGCAGUAACCUUUCUUGGGAUGGUGACGUUUCAUGUCUUAAUUAGGUUGGUGGUUACCCGGAUGUACAAACUCCUUGAAAGACACAGAACUCUAAUACUAUGUACACCACAAAGAAACAGCCAUGUGACAGGAUGGAGGCGUCGGCUAACGCCACGGCGGUAACCCUUUUGCAUUCUAUAAAUAUCAAAUCAGCACCUUUGUGUACCCCUUAAACUCACACAGGGUUAUGUGGCAAUUCACUCGAUGCAUCAACUCAAUCUCAGUAAACCUGGAGGGAAUAAAUGUUUUAAUUAUGUCUCAAUAAAAUAUAUAUACAUAGGUCAUGAAUUGGAAGAAUAGAUACUGUUAAAAUGUCGAUACUCCCCAAAGCAAUCUACAUAAUCAAUGCAAUCCCUAUCAAAAUAACACCAGCAUUCUUCACAGAGCUAGAAUAAUCCUAAAAUUUGUAUGGAACUAGAAAAGACCCCAAAUAGCCAAAGCAAUCCUGAAAAAGAAAACCAAAGCCGGAGGCGUCACAAUCCCGGACUUCAAGAUGUAUUACAAAGCUGUAAUUAUCAAGAUAGUAUGGUACUGGCACAAAAACAGACACUCAGAUCAAUGGAACAGAACAGAGAACCCACAAACAUAUGGCCAACUAAUCUUUGACAAAGCAGGAAAGAAUAUCCAACGGAAUAAAGACAGUCUCUUCAGCAAGUGGUGCUGGGAAAACUGAACAGCGACGUGCAGAAGAAUGAACCUGGACCACUUUCUUACACCGGACACAAAAAGAAACUCAAAAUGGAUGAAAGACCUAAACGUAAGACAGGAAGCCAUCAAAAUCCUAGAGGAGAAAGCAGGCAAAAACCUCUUUGAUCUCGGCCGCAGCAACUUCUUACUCAACACGUCUCCGGAGGCAAGGGAAACAAAAGCAAAAAUGAACUACUGGGACCUCAUCAAAAUAAAAAGCUUCUGCACAGAGAAGGAAACAAUCAGCAAAACUAAAAGGCAACCGACAGAAUGGGAGAAGAUGUUUGCAAGUGACGUAUCAGAUAAAGGGUUAGUAUCCAAAAUCUAUAAAGAACUUAUCAAACUCAACACCCAAAAAGCAAAUAAUCCAGUGAAGAAAAGGGCAAAACACAUGAACAGACACUUCUCCAAAGAAGACAUCCAGAUGGCCAACAGACACAUGAAAAAAUGCUCAACAUCACUCAUCAUCAGGGAAAUACAAAAAACCACAAUGAGAUACCACCUCACACCUGUCAGAAUGGCUAACCUUAACAACUCCGGCAGCAACAGAUGUUGGCGAGGAUGUGGAGAGAGAGGAUCUCUUUUGCACUGCUGGUGGGAAUGCAAACUGGUGCAGUUGGGAGGUUCCUCAAAAAAUUAAAAAUAGAACUACCCCACGACCCAGCAAUUGCACUGCUAGGCAUUUAUCCACGGGAUACGGGUGUGCUGUUUGAAAGGGGCACAUGCACCCCAAUGUUUAUAGCAGCACUACCGACAAUAGCCAAAGUAUGGAAAGAGCCCAAAUGGCCGUCGAUGGAUGAAUGGAUAGAGAAGAGAUGGUACAUAUAUACAAUGGGCUUUUACUUGGCAAUCAAAAAGAAUGAAAUCUUGCCAUUUGCAACUACAUGUAUGGAACUAAAGGGUAUUCUGCUAAGCAAAAUUAGUCGGAGAAAGACAAAUAUCACAUGACUUCACUCAUGAGGAAUUUAAGAGACAAAACAGAUGAACAUAAGGGAAGGGAAGCAAAAAUAAUAUAAAAACAGGGAGGAGGAGAAAACAUAAGAGACUCCUAAAUACAGAGAACAAACUGAGGGUUGCUGGAGGGGUUGUGGGUGGGGGGUGGGCUAAAUGGGCAAGGGGCAUCAAGGAGGACACUUGUUGGGAUGAGCACUGGAUGUUAUACAUAGGGGAUGAAUCACUGGAAUCUACUCCUGAAAUCAUGAUUGCACUCUAUGCUAACUAACUUGGACGUAAAUUAAAAAAUAAAUUUUAAAUAUUGUA